CAGCAGCCACGGUAAUACGUAGGGUACAGGCGUUAUCCGGAAUUAUUGGGCGUAAAGAGCUCGUAGGCGGUUUGUCGCGUCUGCUGUGAAAACUGGAGGCUCAACCUCCAGCCUGCAGUGGGUACGGGCAAACUAGAGUGCGGUAGGGGAGAAUGGAACUCCUGGUGUAGCGGUGGAAUGCGCAGAUAUCAGGAAGAACACCGAUGGCGAAGGCAGUUCUCUGGGCCGUAACUGACGCUGAGGAGCGAAAGCGUGGGGAGCGAACAGGAUUAGAUACCCGCGUAGUCCCUGUCUCUUAUAC
rnacentral:rRNA from 1 species